UACGAAGGGGACUAGCGUUGUUCGGAUUUACUGGGCGUAAAGCGCAUGUAGGCGGUCUGAUAAGUUAGAGGUGAAAUCCUUGGGCUCAACCCGAGAAUUGCCUUUGAUACUGUCAGUCUAGAGUUUUAUAGAGGAUAACGGAACUCCCAGUGUAGAGGUGGAAUUUGUAGAUAUUGGGAAGAACACCAGUUGCGAAAGCGGUUAUCUGGAUAAAUACUGACGCUGAGAUGCGAAAGUGUGGGGAGCAAACAGG
rnacentral:rRNA from 1 species